rnacentral:rRNA from 1 species
ACUUUGAUCAUGGCUCAGGAUGAACGCUAGCUACAGGCCUAACACAUGCAAGUCGAGGGGAAACGGCAGCUUAGCUUGCUAAGCUGGACGUCGACCGGCGCACGGGUGAGUAACGCGUAUCCAACCUGCCCCACGGUGAGGGAUAGCCCGCGGAAACGCGGCCUAAUACCUCAUGGUCUCCGAGUUUGCCAUCAACCUUGGAGUAAAGAUUCAUUGCCGUGGGAUGGGGAUGCGUCUGAUUAGCUUGUUGGCGGGGCAACGGCCCACCAAGGCAACGAUCAGUAGGGGUUCUGAGAGGAAAGCCCCCCACAUUGGAACUGAGACACGGUCCAAACUCCUACGGGAGGCAGCAGUGAGGAAUAUUGGUCAAUGGGCGAGAGCCUGAACCAGCCAAGUAGCGUGCAGGAUGACGGCCCUAUGGGUUGUAAACUGCUUUUAUGCGGGGAUAAAGCGGGCGACGUGUCGCCCUUUGCAUGUACCUUAUGAAUAAGGACCGGCUAAUUCCGUGCCAGCAGCCGCGGUAAUACGGAAGGUCCGGGCGUUAUCCGGAUUUAUUGGGUUUAAAGGGAGCGUAGGCCGGAGAUUAAGCGUGUUGUGAAAUGUAGAUGCUCAACAUCUGCACUGCAGCGCGAACUGGUUUCCUUGAGUACGCACAAAGUGGGCGGAAUUCGUGGUGUAGCGGUGAAAUGCUUAGAUAUCACGAAGAACUCCGAUUGCGAAGGCAGCUCACUGGAGCGCAACUGACGCUGAAGCUCGAAAGUGCGGGUAUCGAACAGGAUUAGAUACCCUGGUAGUCCGCACGGUAAAUGAUGGAUGCCCGCUGUUGGUCUGAAUAGGUCAGCGGCCAAGCGAAAGCAUUAAGCAUCCCACCUGGGGAGUACGCCGGCAAGGGUGCAACUCAAAUGAAUUGACGG